AGGAUGAUUCCUACAUGAAUCAUUUUACGAUUGCUUAACAUGGCGCUAAAUUAUGUAGUUUAAAUUUCUGAUUUUAUUUUUGUCCCUUGACUUUCUCUUGGACCUUCUUACAAUGAUAUUUUUAUUAUUUACAAUUUGUUUAUUAAGAUUUGCAUUAUUAAUUGUUGUAUUGUAUCCCCAUUUGACAAAUUGUAUCCUCAUUUCUAUAAUAGGUAAUAACUUUAUCGCUUAACUUUAUUGUUAUUGUAUUAGUUGAUUUGUUAACUUAAAGUUAAAAUCAACACUUUCAAAAAAAGAAAAAAAAACAAAUACUCGAUCCAACGUCGAGCAAUUUUCACAAAUCA
rnacentral:lncRNA from 1 species